UUAGCUUAAUGGUUAAGAGUACUCAGCCAGCAUCUGAGAGGUAUGGGUUCAAGUCCUGUA
rnacentral:tRNA from 1 species